UUCGACAAACUUAGACGACCUCUCUAUUCUUCUCCUCGACCACUUUCUCCCUAAAUCCUCACUAUAUUCUUCAAAAUUGAUCUCUUUGAAUCACCCAGCAAUGAAAUCUCUUCUUCGAGUUCUCUAUAGCUCUACCAACCACGAUUCUCAUCUCUCUCUCUCUCUCUCUUUCAAUUUCAGUUUUCCUUUCUCCUUAACCCUAAAUUUUCAAUCUCAAACUAAUGGCUGAGGAUGAACAGAGUCGCCCUCGACCACGUUUCAAUAAGCUUUUUCUCUGUCUUCCCCGACUCUCUCUCCCCCCUCUCUCAAUACCCUCUUAUCAUUUUCACUCUAUUCUUUCCCUCACACAAAACGACAUGGCGGCGUCAACAGGCAUCAUCACCUUUGCCACCUUCCUCUCCGGCAAGAUGUCGUCACUGCCUAAGCCUUCUCUCACUGCUUCCUCCGCUCUCAGGUUCCCUGUGCAUUGCGCGCACCCUAUCCCUCACUGCCGUGUCGAAGCAAGCCACCACCUCCCCACGGAAGCCCCAAAAUCUAUCGCCGGAGAUGCAGCCCUUGUUGGCGUGGGUAAGUGAGAGAGAGCGGCUAAGGAAGAACAACGCUCCCAAAACCUAGGGCUUUAACCCAACACUAUGGGUGCCUUUGGCUAGUUAGCUUGCUCAAUCUCGCUUGGUGCUUUCUUCAGACUCAAAGAAGCUGGGAGUAGUAGUACUAAUACUCAGGGACACUCAUUCAUUUUAUCGAGCACAUGGAACGUGUACCUUCAAGCCUCACAGCAAAAGUGUAAAUCUACAUGGUAUGACUGCCUAAACAGCUAAAUCUAUAUUCUUUGUUCAACUUUGAAAUCUGUGCGGACAAUGGUGAGCUAUACUGCUUGCAUUCUAUUAGUUAUCUCUGGUCCAUUCAAUAUGAACAGGCUUUUUUGCAUCAACAUAAGUUUCCUGUUUUGUAUACUAUUGUCUGUUAGAGUCAUGUGUUCUUCUAUACUGCGUAUACAUUAAUACUUUGAAAUGCUUAUUCAAUCCAACAAUUUAACAAUCAUUGUAUUCAUAUAUUUGGUGUUUGAUUCAACAGCUUGUCUGAAUUGUGGAAUAUUUGUGAGAAGCCGCAGUCUGUAUUUCAAGGGCAGUAUUUAAAUUCCGAUUGUUGAGGAAGACGAGUGUGUGACUGUUGUUGAUUGUAGCCCAUCUUAAGGUUUGGUAAUGGGGUCUGCAAACAUGGUGAAGAAAUGGCUAUUCCCUCUUGUCAUAAGCUCUCGUGUAUGCUUAUUCCUUCUAGCCAAUUCCUUGAACUUGGGUCUUGUCUCUUCACCACGCAAGCUCCCAUGUAUGCUUAUUCCUUCUAGCAACAAACCAAACCAGUGCAGCUUUCGCUGAAACAAAAGUUUCACAAGCUCCCCCCCUCCUGCCGUUCUUAGGGGGAAUCUCUAACCCCAUUGGAGUCAAGGUUUAUCUAGAUGAAAUCAAAGAGCAGGUUGGUCCAAACGUUGGUGAGUCUCUCUUUUCCCACAAACACUAAGAAGAAAAUUGGUUGGACUUUUUAGGAGUAUAUAUAUUCACCUGAAAGGUUUCCAUCUUGAAGUAUUAGCAACUUAUUAUGUCAGCUUAAUUCCUGGACAUGCCAUAUAUCCAAUUUUUCACACUUGGUUAAAUUCUGCAAGAAUAAAUUGUUGAAUUUCAUGUAUUUUCAAGAGGCAAGUUCUUACCCACCA